rnacentral:rRNA from 1 species
CAGUUUGACUGGGGCGGUCGCCUCCUAAAGAGUAACGGAGGCGCUCAAAGGUUCCCUCAGAAUGGUUGGAAAUCAUUCAUAGAGUGUAAAGGCAUAAGGGAGCUUGACUGCGAGACCUACAAGUCGAGCAGGGUCGAAAGACGGACUUAGUGAUCCGGUGGUUCCGCAUGGAAGGGCCAUCGCUCAACGGAUAAAAGCUACCCCGGGGAUAACAGGCUUAUCUCCCCCAAGAGUUCACAUCGACGGGGAGGUUUGGCACCUCGAUGUCGGCUCAUCGCAUCCUGGGGCUGUAGUCGGUCCCAAGGGUUGGGCUGUUCGCCCAUUAAAGCGGUACGCGAGCUGGGUUCAGAACGUCGUGAGACAGUUCGGUCCCUAUCCGUCGUGGGCGUAGGAAAUUUGAGAGGAGCUGUCCUUAGUACGAGAGGACCGGGAUGGACAUACCUCUGGUGUACCAGUUGUCGUGCCAACGGCAUAGCUGGGUAGCUAUGUAUGGACGGGAUAAGUGCUGAAAGCAUCUAAGCAUGAAGCCCCCCU